rnacentral:lncRNA from 1 species
ACCGGAAAGGACCAGACCCGGCGGGACCGGACCGCGGUUUGGGUCCAAGCCCGGCGGUGUUUGCGGCGGGCCCGGGGCCUGGAAGCGCUGGGGCGGAGCCGAGAAUGAAACUGGAAAAUGGCCUUCAUUGGAAAAGUCCCAGUCCUCGGGGAGCAGAUCCCCCAUCUCUGGCAGUGCAGUGCGCCUGGGCGCUGUCUGGAACAUUCCGCAAAAAUUAAUGAAGAUAGCAGGCGUGAUGAAAUCCGAGCACUGUGGCAAUCCGCCCAUGAAGACGAGCCGCGCUGCCCGAAAUUUCCCUCCCCACUGGCAGUCACUCCUCUGCCCUGCAUUGGCCUUGACCACAUGACCCAGAGGCACAGGGAGAAGCCUCUCCUGGAUGCUUGGUGAGUUGACUUCAGCGGCUGAGAGUGUCUAAGGAGAGCCGGGAGCACCACACGUGUCCUGCAGAUGGUGGGGCAGAUUUGGUGAAAUAGGAAGCUCCAUGGCUCUUAGCCAUCUUUCAGGGUGACUGAGAGAUUGGUUUUCAUAGAAGCCUCGGUGGCCUGGUCCGUGCAGGAGUGCCUGAAGGGGAUCUCCUGUGGCGCUGCCUGGUCCAGGGAGGUCACAGAGUGCUCCU